CAGUCGCCGCGGGAAUACGUAGGUGGCAAGCGUUGUCCGGAAUUAUUGGGCGUAAAGGGCUCGCAGGCGGUUUCUUAAGUCUGAUGUGAAAGCCCCCGGCUCAACCAGGGAGGGUCAUUGGAAACUGGGAAACUUGAGUGCAGAAGAGGAGAGUGGAAUUCCACGUGUAGCGGUGAAAUGCGUAGAGAUGUGGAGGAACACCAGUGGCGAAGGCGACUCUCUGGUCUGUAACUGACGCUGAGGAGCGAAAGCGUGGGGAGCGAACAGGAUUAGAUACCCCUGUAGUCCCUGUCUCUUAUAC
rnacentral:rRNA from 1 species